CCGGCCUGGCUCAGUUGGUAGAGCAUGGAUGGAACUCUUCAUCUUAAAGUCCUGAGUUCCAAACCUAUGGUGGGAGC
rnacentral:tRNA from 1 species